rnacentral:lncRNA from 1 species
CCCGGACUGUGCCGGCGGUGGGGCCAAGGAGGGAUAGCCACAACAAGGCCCUUUCUAGACAGGCCGAGAGGGGCAAAGACACUCACAGGGGCCCCCAAAUGCCCUGCACCGAGCGGGGUACCAGCCUGGUGCCAAGGCUGAUGAAGCAAGAACAAAACCUGUGUGAUUACAGGUCCCUGAGGGUUGGGGCUGUGUUGCCGCUACAUGUCCCAGUCUGUCCCCACUGGAAUCUGGGCCAAGGCUAAGCAGGCGGGCCCUCAACAUCUCCUUCUCCCAGGACCCCCAGCCUUGUCUCCGCCUUGGCCGUCUCCUCUGGCCCUGGGUCCAAGCCCCUGCCCCAGUGUGGAAACCACAGCACAGUGCCUGGGUGCCCACUCGGCCUGGACGCUCCCAGCCCACAGGCAGCUUCCAGAAAGGAGCACAGGGCUGUGCACACGGUGUGAUCAUGCCACAACCCAACAGCCGGCGUCUGAGCUGCUCUCACAAGCCCAGGCAUGGUGCUCUCUCAGUCACCAGCUGCCGGCCGCCAGAAAGGCCUGGCCCACCUGCACUCUGGCCAGGCUGCUGCUCCGUGUGACAGCUGCAAGUGGACUGCAAUUCUCACAGAAAUUAUUUUUAAAAAUGUUUACUUAUUAUUUUCAUCAAGUGAGGGAGAGAGAGAGAGAGAGAGGCCUUCCAUCUGCUGGCUCACUCCCCAAAUGCCCACAGCAGGCUGAAGCCAGGAGACCAGAGCACCAUCUGGGUCUCCCUCGAGGGUGGCAGGGCCCCAAGGACUUGGACCAGCACCUGCUGCCUCCCAGGAGCAUCCACAGGAAGCUGGGUGGAAGCAGAUGACCCAGACCGACGCAGGGAUCCAACACAGGACGUAGGCAUCGCCGGCGGGGGCUUGGCCGGGUUAGGGUUAGCACAGUACCCACUCCCUGGCAGCCGUGAGUGCUGUGAGGAUCGAGAUGCGGGGAGGUGAGGUCCCCCCAUCAGAACAGGGAGUCACAGCCAGUGCUGCUGGACACACAGCGACACUCUCCUACCUUAAUUCCAUGUUGUUGCUUGAGACAGACAGAGUCCCGUUCCCACAGCCAGCAUGGGCAGCACGAUGUGUCCAGUGUCCACAGACAGGUUCUCCAUGGUCAGGCCACGGUGGGUUUGUGCAUCCAGUGCUCAAGGGGCACCAACAAACAAGGGAGGAGUGAGGGACCCAGGAGCGAACUCCCCUGGGGCACAACAGAUGCCUCAGGUAGUCAGCUGCACAGACGUGGGUGCAGGAACACGGGAGCCCUCUCGCUGUCCCCAGAGGUGCUGGGAAAGGACAUCCCUGCUCCGGAGCCCCGCCCUGGCUCCCUCCUGUGCAGAGAAGGUGCUUGCUGGUGAGCUCUGGGGAGGCCGGCUGCAGGCAGGAGCACACACCGCGAUGGGAGAGCACACCAAGGUGAGCUCCGGUACCAAGGCCAUUCUCAGUGCAGCAGAUAAAGUCCCACCCUUGGCUUAGAAAGGGCAGCCCAGGGGAGACGCUCGGCGCAGCAGUAUGUGUGGAAAGUGGGUCUGGCUUGGCCACAGGCUCAGGACAAGCUAAGAUGGGGCUGUCACAGAAGCACAUGGGUGCAGGCUGCAGGCUGCCCGGCCCGAGCAGUCAGCUGAGCAGGGUGAUCAGUGCCAAGCCCCGUGGACAUGGGGCACAGGCCGUCCACACCUGCUGCAGGAGGACUCGUAGAGCUGCAAGGAGGCCAUGGUCAACACAGAGGAAGCAGCUGAGGGAGGCAUGAAGAGCAGGAGGGGGCAGCACACAAGCACAGGGUUCAGGUCUGGAAAGAUCCGUCAUAUGGCAGGAGGUCUGGGGGCACGAGGUCCCAGAAGGGCGUCCAUCCGCGGGCACACCCAGGCAGCCCUGGACAUCACCGAGAGGCUGACACACCAGGUGCAGGGUGUCAGGUGCUCCAGAAGCCGCUCCCGGCCCCCAGGCUCUGACUCUGUACAGUGGGACCUGCUUUGGGCACAGAGUUUCUCUAACCUCACACUGCCCUGGGGAAGCUUCGGAGCUGUGAGGGCACAGUGUCUGAGGUUUUGCCCGUCAGACAAGAGCCCAGCAGGCACUGCCAGUCUGCAGAUCACGCUUUGAGCAGAGAGAGUCUGGAACCUACCAAUGGCACAGACAGGAUCAGGCAGCUGUAGGGAGUCCCAGGGAGGCGGGAAGUCCAGCGUCAGACACACGGGAAGAGGGAUGCCACCUGCCCCCAGCCAUGUCCUGACCCUUUGCUUCUCUGAAACACACUUCACGCCCGCACUCAGGUCCCUGAGGCCCAGUUCCUCGUGUGUAUGGUGGGAACGACCCGCAUGGCUGGGGCACCAAGUAGCAUCACAGAACAGGAGCCUGAUUUGUCUCAGCCUCCUUACAAACCACUCAGCCAGCAUCUGUCCCCUUCACUGUCAAGACGAGUUAUUCUGGCCGGCGCUGUGACCUAGUGGGUUAACGCCCUGGCCUGCAGUGCCUGCAUCCCAUAUGGUGGUGCUGGUUUGAGUCCCAGCUGCUCCACUUCUGCUCCAGCUCUCUGCUAUGGCCUGGGAAAGCAGUAGAAGAUGGCCCAAGUGCUUGGGCCCCUGCACCCAUGUGGGAGACCCAGAAGAAGCUCCUGGCUCCUGGCUUUGGAUCAGUGCAGCUCCAGCCAUUGUGGCCAAUUGGGGAAUGAACCAUUGGAUGGAAGAUCUCUCUCUCUCUCUCUCUCUCUCUCUCUCUGCCUCUCCAUCUCUCUGUGAAACCCUGACUUUCAAAUAAAUAAAUAAAUCUUAAAAAAAAAAAAAACA